AUGAACCAGAAGGUUUCCUGAUUUCUCUAACUUGUCCUCCACGUCUCUUGACUUUGUCCAUGUACUUGUCCUGCAACCAAAAAACAUCUGAGCUGAGGCAAAUAAACUAACAAUGGACAAACUAACAAUCCAAGUUUUGGUGGAGAUAAAAAAAGAAGGUUUAGAGACGGGUGCAGGGUAACAAGAAGAUCUUGUUGUAUGUAACUUUGGAAAUAUUCUAACCUCAUUUGAAAUCAGUCGUUUCCAUCCACGGUUUCUGGUAAUAACAAGGUCGAUGAUGGUUCCCUGAAACGACACAAUCAUGUCAAUGAGAUGGACACAAUACAUGUGACGGUCUGCACAGGGUCAGAGUCAUUUUAUAAUCAUACCUUGAAUAGAAUUUGCUUUGGCAGCUCGUUUAGCUUCUCUGAUCUGUCUCACUUGUUUGUAAAACUCAUCUUCUGAGCCUUCUGAUUUGCCAUCACUAUCAACCAUCCCAUCAUCUAGCUUCCUGGUUACAUCCGGGAUUAAAAAUUAUUAAUAUACAUCACAAUCUUCAGAAAGGGGCAAAGGAUAUCAUAAUUGGGUUGGUAGACCAAACCGGUUCAAUUGAUUACCAAUACUUGACCUGCUUUCAACGUUUUAAUUGGGUUGGUGAACCAAACCGGUUCAAUUGAUUACCGAUACUUGACCUUCUUGCAAUUGAUUUUCCGGUUUAAUUUUGAUUUUUCACUUAACAUGUGUUUUAGUUUGAGAAAGUAUUUCAAAAGCAUUCAGGUUUAUGUAUAUCUGGUUUAGCUUUUCAAAUCCACUAAAAUACAUAGACCUAUAACAUCCUUCUUUUAAUGAACUUUUUGAGCUGUUUAUAUAUAAAGGAUACUUUUAUGGAAAGUAUAAGGUUAUUUCAUUUAUUUCUAAAUAAAUAAUAAAUAACUUUUUAAAUGAACAAAAUCUAUGAUGUUUUAUCAAGAAAAACUUACUUGUAUGUGCUUAUACUCUUCGCAACCUUGUUGAACUUAAAUUAAUUCCAACUUGAUUCCAUUGAAUAGAUCAUGGAUAACCUGAAAAAAUAUAGAGAAAAUGAAUUUGUAUUCAAUAGAACAUCUAGUAAUUUAUGAAUCAGAUAAUAGAAUAGCCAGUGUCUUUGUAUUCAAUUGAUUUCAAGAGUACAUUCAAUUGUUUUUGUUCAUUCUGGAAAUAAUAGAUGCAAGCUUUAAAAAACUGCACAAUUUUUAAACCGAAGUUAAUUAAUAAUUAGGAUGGCGUUCCUGCAGAGAAGAAAGGAGGCUUGUCUUUGGAAGGAAUACAAAAUAGCAUAGAUGGCAUUUGGUCUUCCUAUGGAGAAAAGAGGGUCAUAAUCUUCACACUAACCACAUUGAAAAGAUCGCUCCAUCUCAUAUCAGGCCAGGCAUUAUAGAUUUGCACAUCCUCAUGGGAUAUGUGGCUUUGAAGGUUUUAAAACACUGGCCGAAAAUUACUUGGAGGUAAAUGAGCAUGCUCUAUUCCCAGAGAUAUAAAUUAAACUAAUUGAAGGAGUCAAAAUCACUCCAGCACAAGUGGCAGAGGUGUUGAACUUGAACCAUGAAACUUUGUUUGGAUUAUGCUCAUUUCUUUUGUGGUUUGGCUUUGUCAAUGGUUUUAGUAUAUGUUUCGGUGGUUUGCCAAAGUUUGCAUAACUUUCUUUGUUAUGAAUACAUGUGUGACUUUGGCUUUCUUUUAUUGUAGUCACAUGAUAUUUUGAACUGAGUUUUUUAUUUAUUUAUAGUCGUUUCAGAUGUUGUAAAUUAAUGAAUACUUAUUUUCCAUUCUACAUUUUAUGGUUAGAAAAAUUAAUAUUACAAAUUUUAUGUUUUGUAUACGUAGCUAGGCUGAUAUAUUGUACUAGUGUAGUGUUGUUUCAAAUUACUAAGAUAAUAUAUUGAGUAAAUCAUAAAGAAUAUGUACCUGCAGUCAGUUGAUUACUAAUUGAUUUUUGAUGUAAAUACUAUAAAGCUUAGCAGUUUUUGUAAAUGAAUAAACUAUUUAUUUAUUGUUAUGACAAUGAUAGAAAGUCAAAUAUUGUAGCAUAUGAUAAAUUGAACCAUUCAAACUUUAGAUAUCAAACAAAAAGUUUUCUGUUAUUCAUUUUAUUUUGUAACCAAUACAAAGUUUUGCAUACUUUUACUUACGAUACUGAAAUUUGCAACACCCAUAGCCUGAAAAUAAGAGAAAAAUACGAUAAGAUAUUGAUUGAAGAUUAACAGAGAAGAGUUACAUAAUUUAUUAGAGAAGCUAACUCACUAGGAUCAAUAAUGGUAAUGAGACCAGAGCCAUCGAAAUAGCAAUCCCUUAGGUGUCUUCCUUGAGCUUGAUAAUAAAGAUUCAUGGCGACCGAAGCGUGAUUAA